GACAGAGGGUGCAAACGUUGUUCGGAAUUACUGGGCGUAAAGCGCGUGUAGGCGGCUAAGUAAGUCGGGCGUGAAAUCCCACGGCUCAACCGUGGAAGUGCACUCGAAACUGCAUAGCUAGAGUCCUGGAGAGGAAGGUGGAAUUCUCGGUGUAGAGGUGAAAUUCGUAGAUAUCGAGAGGAACACCGGUGGCGAAGGCGGUCUGCUGGGCAGUAGCUGACACUGAGGCGCGACAGCGUGGGGGAGCAAACAGG
rnacentral:rRNA from 1 species